CAGGAGGCCCCGCGCGCGGGUUUCCAUGGCGACGCGCCGGCGCUGCGGGGUUGGCACAGUCGCGGGAACAGCGCGGAGCAGAGAAGCACCAAAAGAGGCAAACUGAGAUGCAGACAAAUGAUCAUCUGUAUGCUGAUCAUUUUGAAUAGAGAAUUGAGAAUUAAAUGAAAAGGUAAUCCUUUUAAAGACCUCAGAAGAUGGAUCUGUUUGUUUCAAUCUGCUUUUGAGGCCAGAAGGAAAUCUCAGUUGAAAAAAAGCACACCUGGAAUGCAUCACUCUUUAAUUCUCAAAUCCAUAUGAUUGCCCAAAGAAGAGAUGCUAUGGCUCAUCGAGUACUCUCAGCAAGGCUUCAUAAAAUUAAAGGACUAAAAAAUGAAUUAGCUGAUAUGCAUCAUAAAUUGGAAGCCAUCCUUACAGAAAACCAAUUUUUGAAACAACUUCAGCUUAGGCAUUUGAAAGCUAUAGGAAAAUAUGAAAAUUCACAAAAUAAUCUACCUCAAAUUAUGGCUAAACAUCAGAAUGAAGUAAAAAAUUUAAGGCAACUACUUAGGAAAUCCCAGGAAAAGGAAAGAACUGUAUCUAGGAAACUUAGAGAAACUGACAGCCAGUUACUGAAGACUAAAGAUACCUUGCAGGCACUGCAGAAACUUUCUGAAGACAAAAACCUUGCAGAAAGGGAAGAACUCACUCAUAAAUUAUCUAUUAUCACAACAAAAAUGGACGCAAAUGACAAAAAAAUACAGGUGUGUAUUUCAGGGGCCCAGACAGUUUAAGAUUCCAAAGUUAAUAGAGAGAGGGUGUGAAUUAAUCAUGGAUGCGCCCCCUCUGUAACAAAGCAUUACUAACUGCUUCGCUUGGCAUGCUACACUAAAUAAUUAUGUUGUCUAAUAGAGGGCACGGAAAGGGAGUGGUUUGAAGGAAAAACAGAAGCAGCUCAAACUAGAAAUGUUCAUCUGUUGGAGUGCACAAGAGUUCACUCUGUGGCUGGACUGGUUUAUCUGGAAAUGACCAUUGCACACGAGUUCACUCUGUGGCUGGGCUGGUUUAUCUGGAAAUGACCGUUCUCUAAGAGAGCACAGCUACAGUGCUAAGGGACUUUUUCCCUGUGCUGAAAAGAUUGCACUGUGUUACGUGAAACCUCUCUUUGAAGUCAACCCUCUACCUUAAACUGUUGAUUAAAAGGCUGCUUCCGUAAAAACCUACUCAGUGCAUCCGUUCAGUGCCUUUUGUAUUCUCCCUCACCAUUUUGGCCAGCCAUUACCACACAGACAUUUGUAGUUAUUUUCAAAUAGCAGUUUUUCCCAGAUAAUGUUCCUGGUAGUAGGGAAGGAAAAGGAAUUAAAAUAACUAGAGA
rnacentral:sRNA from 1 species